rnacentral:rRNA from 1 species
UCCUGUCUGAAUAUGGGGGGACCAUCCUCCAAGGCUAAAUACUCCUGACUGACCGAUAGUGAACCAGUACCGUGAGGGAAAGGCGAAAAGAACCCCGGCGAGGGGAGUGAAAAAGAACCUGAAACCGUGUACGUACAAGCAGUGGGAGCACCCUUYGGGGUGUGACUGCGUACCUUUUGUAUAAUGGGUCAGCGACUUAUAUUCUGUAGCAAGGUUAACCGUAUAGGGGAGCCGKAGGGAAACCGAGUCUUAACCGGGCGUUAAGUUGCAGGGUAUAGACCCGAAACCCGGUGAUCUAGCCAUGGGCAGGUUGAAGGUUGGGUAACACUAACUGGAGGACCGAACCGACUAAUGUUGAAAAAUUAGCGGAUGACCUGUGGCUGGGGGUGAAAGGCCAAUCAAAC